ensembl:lncRNA
CCAGGAACACUUCCAAGGUCUCAGGCAACAUCUCAGUCAGGAAGUCAACACAUCUGUUCUUCUUCUCUGUUUUUGAUUGUGUCGGAGCCGCAGUCCAGACGCUCGCUCCUCCCCCCCCAGAGGCCCCUCCCCUCAGCCCGGCCAGAGCGCCGGUGGCCUACCUGAGUCCGGCCCGCUCAGGCCCCCGCGAGGCCCCCCGCCGGCCUGCUGGUCAUGAUGCCCGCCUCCGCCGCCGCCGCCGGGCCCACACCGGCCGCCGUCAAGGUGACGGCCGUGCCCCCCCUCAAAGUACUCAGACCCGUGCCGGGAGCCAAACCAAACUCAGCCUCAUCUCCCUUUCGAAAAUGACCUCGUCUGUCGAAGCACAGCGACACCACCACCUCCUCCUCCUCCUCCUCCUCCUCCUCCACCUCCUCCUCCUCGGAUGACCCCACUCUGGGGUGAGAAGGCAGCAAACGCACGGCCUAUUUGCACUAACAGAGAGUACAGACACCUCUUGGAGG